UGUUUAUUCUGCGUCACGCCGUGUUUGUGUGCAGAGUGAACCUUCCUGCGUCUUGCAUAAGGGGGGUUACAGCUCUCCCCCCGUCAGCUGAGAGCUUACAGUGAGUUAUAGUGUGCACAAGGAAGAAACUAUCAGGCACGUGGAAACAUGUCUGGGAAACCCAAGCUGCACUACUUCAAUGGACGAGGCCGAAUGGAA